rnacentral:lncRNA from 1 species
CUUUGCUGUUCCCUCAACUUGUGUUGAGGUUUAGCAACCACGGAAAAUGAGCUGCGCAGACACUUUUCCAUUCCUCAUUCGACUAAUUCUGUGUGAACAUCAAAGGUUUCUUGACAUUUCCUCUGAACGUCUCCCUGACGGCCUGAAGAACCGACGACUCACCGAUCAGAUGUUGUCGGCAGUGUCAAAUAACACGCCUCUAAUUUCAAAAGUUGUCAAAAAUAGAUGUCAGAACUGUGUUAAUGUCUGUGAUUUUUAAGGGAGAAGCCGGAGCCAGUGGUAUUCCUGGAGCAGAUGGAAGACAAGGCCAUCCUGGCAUGCCCGGUUUGCCAGGGACUGCAGGACUAAAUGGGCCAAAGGGAGAAGCCGGUGAGCCUGGAUUGAGGGGAUUCAAAGGAUCAACAGGACCACCUGGUGAAGUGGGUUUACCUGGCGCACCUGGGAUGAAAGGACCGACUGGACUCAAGGGAAAGAAGGGUGAAAGUGGAAGUCCGGGAAUACAAGGAACACCAGGACCGGCGGUAUGUUUCCAUUUCAUUAUUCUAAUAUAAACCAGGCGACCUUAUCUUUGACUCCAACUGAAAGAAAGAAGUGAUUAAGCCAAGCAAUAAAGCAGCCACUAAAACUUGUUUAUCCACAUUAAAAAGCUGAGUAUUUCUGGACGUGUUAUAUCCUAAAGGAAAUGAAUAAAGUUUGUUUUGGCUAAUAACGGCUUUACUGAACGCCUUCAAAGGGAAGUGCAGGCGAGCCGGGACAAGCAGGUCAACCGGGGCAUCCGGGCAUGCCGGGCCUGAAGGGAAGCAAGGUAUAUCACAUCAUUGUUUUCAGCGUAUUUGGUGUCCUUUUCUGAGUCUUUAACUGAGGACGUAACAUGAUUUAUUUAUUUAUUUGUUU